rnacentral:misc_RNA from 2 species
ACGCGAUGACAUAGCUUGUCCCGUGUCGUACGCCGGAGGCAGUGCCGUACUCCUCGUGAGCACGGACCAGCAGCGGUUGAGCCGGAGCCACAAGACCGCAGGGAAGGUGAGUCGAUGAGCACCUGUCGCACAUUGACGGCAUAUAGCCCUGCGGCACGGCGCUCCGGUCCGACCGAGGAAGGAGGGCAGCCCUUGCCCGUCGUGGUACACGCCGUAUGGCGGGGCCUCCCGACACAAGUGAACCAUGCGGUGUGGACUGCAUGCAGUGCACAUCGUGGUGGGGAUCUUGUGGCGGAGAGUGCCACCUGUGUGCCAGUGCUGCUGGUAUUCAGAC